rnacentral:rRNA from 1 species
UGUGUGCCCAAGCAUUGAGGCAGUCAAAGUAGGCAAAUCCGCUUUGAUAAUGCUGGGAUGUGAUGGGGAGCGAAAUUUAGUAGCGAAGUAGCUGAUUUCACACUGUCAAGAAAAGUCUCUAUCGAGGGUAAAGGUACCCGUACCGCAAACCGACACAGGUGGGUGAGGAGAGUAUCCUAAGGCCAGCGAGAGAACUGUUGUUAAGGAACUCGGCAAAAUGACCCCGUAACUUAGGGAUAAGGGGUGCCACCAUCAGGUGGCCGCAGAGAAUAGGCCCAAGCGACUGUUUACCAAAAACAUAGGUUUCUGCUAAGUCGCAAGACGAUGUAUAGGAGCUGACGCCUGCCCGGUGCUGGAAGGUUAAGGGGAUCUGUUAGAGCAAUCGAAGCAGUGAACUUAAGCC